rnacentral:lncRNA from 1 species
UAGAAAGAAGUAUACAGAUCACCCUCAAAUCCACUCUUUGGGAUACAUACCCCCCUGAACUCAAAACCGGGAUAAAUAACACCCUCAAAUCAUCAAAACCGGCUUAAUAACCCCCUUGAGUGGUUUCUGUCUAAUUUUGAGUGGUUUUUGUCCCCAUGAUGCUGAUUAGGCGGUGACUGGGCAGAAAAUGCUGAGUGGGUCCCGUUAGUCAGUUGCCUCUCUCAUUNNNNNNNNNNNNNNNNNNNNNNNNNNNNNNNNNNNNNNNNNNNNNNNNNNNNNNNNNNNNNNNNNNNNNNNNNNNNNNNNNNNNNNNNNNNNNNNNNNNNNNNNNNNNNNNNNNNNNNNNNNNNNNNNNNNNNNNNNNNNNNNNNNNNNNNNNNNNNNNNNNNNNNNNNNNNNNNNNNNNNNNNNNNNNNNNNNNNNNNNNNNNNNNNNNNNNNNNNNNNNNNNNNNNNNNNNNNNNNNNNNNNNNNNNNNNNNNNNNNNNNNNNNNNNNNNNNNNNNNNNNNNNNNNNNNNNNNNNNNNNNNNNNNNNNNNNNNNNNNNNNNNNNNNNNNNNNNNNNNNNNNNNNNNNNNNNNNNNNNNNNAAUCGCAGGCGCCCUCCGCUGCCAUCUUGUUGUUUGCAGCUCGUCCACCACCGGCGGAACCAAACCAUGUGUCCAGGUGCGUGACUCCAUCUCUGCUGCUCCUCUGUUUCGUUUCUAGUCUUGUUCGCCGGGUAAAUCGCGGCGCCAGUGUACGACCGCGUGCGUCGUAGAGGUAUGGGUUCGGGUGAGGGGAAUGGGGCGUCUCUGUACUAGGGAUUUAGGGGACCAAGUUCACAACCAAGCUCACUGCAUGUGUCACAGCAAAGAUCAUUGGUUGUGUCACAACCAAGCUCACAGAUAUAUGACAAGCAUGCUCCAGCCAGCAAGCCUAGAUCAGCAAAGAUUCAGAGAAGUGUUGCUACUCCAUUUGUUCCACCUAAACAAGUUACAAGCUUGCCAUACCAUUGUGUCUUCAAUCUAGCUGCAUACAAGGAAGCUAAGAAAGGCAGAGCAGGGCCUCCAGUUUGAUGUUGAAGGAGUCUUUUUUGUAUCAGGAGUCAUGUCAUGUACUAUAUAUGCAGUCAUGUAUUAUCUGUACUGUCGGCCAACUAUAUUGGUUCUGGAUUGAACAUAAACCAUACUAUUUUUUUCUGGAUUGAACACCAAAUAUAUAUCUGUAAUCCUAUUUGGUUCUAUAUUAUUAACAUAGUACUUGUGCAUUGCUUACAUGACAGCACACAUACAUGGCAACACACAUAGGAAUAUCCGACGGCACAUACAUGAUGGCACACAUAAAACAUAGCACAAGUACCAAAAUUUGAUUUUUCAUAACAUCACUCAAUACAAAUUCUGAAUGUUUUCAUAACAGAACAUACAUUCAGGACAUCAACUUCUCCAACAUACAUUUUGCAUCUUGCUUAACAGCAUACAUAAAUGAGUCCUUCACAAACAAUUUUUUUCAUGAUGUAAAUCAUUUCCAAAAGAAGGAAAUGGCAAAGCAGAACAGAGCAACCACAAGGAACAACUGCACUUUCUGAAUCUUGUUCUUCAGGACAACAACUUCUCCAUGAUGCUUGGCUUCCAAAUCACGCAGAUACGCGUCCAACAUCUUAUUCUUCGACAAGCUGCCGUUCCUUCAGUCGAGACACAACAUGCUCACAAAUGAAGUGUGUGGAUCAUCAUGCCAAAGUAAAUAUCUGCAGUCGACUCCCUGGGUUCACAAGAGCGAGUGAACAAUUACCAACAAAAUCAGAAGCAAAAAGAAUCAGAAGCAACAGAUUAACAGAGAGGAAAUUUGAGUUGAACCAAGUGCACACGCAGAGAAGCACUAGUGCUUUGCUGCAGUUGUAGUACCUUGUCCCUGGGUUCUUCGGGCUCCAUGAGAUCCAUCUUGGUUCAGCUGCUUCAGUUCACUUGAGUUGUCAGGCAACUGAACAUUUCUUUCUUGAAUGCCACAACAAGAACCUGUUUGAUGCCAAGUAUUUGGUCGAAUUGCCAUCAGUACUACUAGAACAGACUGUAGUCUUGAAUAUGAAUAAACAAACACGCAGCAGAUACCUGCAAGAUUCUCGUGAUGGAGCUUCCAUCGGGCAACUGAUUCCUGUAGAAAGAGAAGCCAGCCAGCCAUAUGAGCAUCCCCAGCAGCACCUACAGUGCACACAGGGUGAAGCCGAUGUCCAACCACACGAGGAGCACUAGGCCAACGAAGCCGCCCGAGGACACAACGAAGAUGUACCAGUUGAAGAAGCUCGUCUCCUGCCGCUGCUCCUAGCGCCCAGCGCCAGCAGGCACGCGCGCACCGCGCCGUCGCCGAUGGGGAUCAGGUAGAGGCCCAGGAGGAGCAGGCUCAGGUUGGAACCACAGACCGUCUCGCAGGUCUGCUGGCCAGUGGGACUGCAGGGCGGCGGGUGCGGCAAAAUUUGUGGACUAGGAGAGAUAAAGCGAGGCGAGGUUCAUCGGCGAUUGGGGAAUUUUCGCGAGAGAGAAAGGAGAAAGAGAGAGAAGUAAGGGAUAUUUGACUAAUGGGACCCACGGUAGCCUACUUAGAGUUUUUUGCCCAGUCAGCGUCUAAUCAGGGACAAAAACCACUCAAAAUUAGACAGAAACCACUCAAGGGGGUUAUUAAGCCGGUUUUGAUGAUUUGAGGGUGUUAUUUGUCCCGGUUUUGAGUUCAGGGGGUAUGUAUCCCAAAGAGUGGAUUUGAGGGUGAUUUGUAUACUUCUUUCUAUCAGAAUUAGGAAAAAAUACAUUUUUCAAAUUGCACUAGAGGCCCAAAUAAAUGUUCACUUUGUCCGCUAUAUUUUUAGAGGAUGGGGAAAAUUUAUUUCAGGAUUUUUGGAGUCCGUUUAGUAUUUCUUUUCUUCGUUUUUCUGCGCAGCGGGAUAUUUAAAAAAAACGAUCCGACCUUACCAGGCAGUGUCUGCCUGGGACACCCACCCGGCCGGCCUUUAUAAGCCGAAGGCCCGACCCGGCCGAAACCCUAGCCAGCCGCUGAACCCGCCGCCUUGAUUCCCGCGCCGCCGCCGCCAGUCACCGUCGCCUCCUUGCCGCGCUGUCGACCAGCAGCGCCGCCNNNNNNNNNNNNNNNNNNNNNNNNNNNNNNNNNNNNNNNNNNNNNNNNNNNNNNNNNNNNNNNNNNNNNNNNNNNNNNNNNNNNNNNNNNNNNNNNNNNNNNNNNNNNNNNNNNNNNNNNNNNNNNNNNNNNNNNNNNNNNNNNNNNNNNNNNNNNNNNNNNNNNNNNNNNNNNNNNNNNNNNNNNNNNNNNNNNNNNNNNNNNNNNNNNNNNNNNNNNNNNNNNNNNNNNNNNNNNNNNNNNNNNNNNNNNNNNNNNNNNNNNNNNNNNNNNNNNNNNNNNNNNNNNNNNNNNNNNNNNNNNNNNNNNNNNNNNNNNNNNNNNNNNNNNNNNNNNNNNNNNNNNNNNNNNNNNNNNNNNNNNNNNNNNNNNNNNNNNNNNNNNNNNNNNNNNNNNNNNNNNNNNNNNNNNNNNNNNNNNNNNNNNNNNNNNNNNNNNNNNNNNNNNNNNNNNNNNNNNNNNNNNNNNNNNNNNNNNNNNNNNNNNNNNNNNNNNNNNNNNNNNNNNNNGCCGGAUCCCCUCGCCGCCGCCGCUGCCCAGCCCACCGGAGCCGCCGCCGACUCUCGCCGGACCUCGCCUAAGUAGCCCGCCACCGCCGCCGGUUUUCAUUAGAAAACCGUUUGAUUUUUUUUGAAAGCCCUAAAUUUAUCUUUAUAGAUCGGUUUUAUUUUUUUCUGGUUUAGUUAUUUAGCGAACGCUCGUUCGUACGUUCGUUUUAACGAACGGUGUUCACCUGUUAGACGCAGACAGCGAACGUUCAUCCGUUAGUCUGUUCGUCAGUUUUUCUUUUUCCAAGGUUUUUCCGCGAUUAUUUUCGAUCGUGAUUUCUGCCCUGAUUUUCGUUUUAGUUUAUAUUUUUGCUCGUUUAUCGGAAUCGGACGAUUCAAGCGCCUAGAUCUUCGUCUCGAAGCCCUAUUUCUGUUUAACCAACUUGAACAAGAUUUUGGUACUGUAAAAUUUGACUCUAGUCCAUAUUAGUAAAUGAAUCUUGUUUCUUUCGCAGUUUGAGUUUCGUUGCCACGUUUCAUUUGAUUCUUUUUGCAAACCGGAGUUCUUAAGUUGUAAUUUCUGGUUAGAUCUCUUAUUUGAUUUUUACCCGUGAUUCUAGUUGAGUGCUCAUUGUAUGCUUUGUCUUUUUGUGAUAGAGUACCCGGAGUGCGAAACGUGCUACUACGAGUCUCUAGGUUUCACGGAUCAUCAGCAAGGCAAGUAACACUUUGAUCAUACCUGUUUACUACCCAGUUUUAUUGCAUUAGAACAAUCCUCAAACAAGUGCAUGGUUAGGAUCUGUUUAACAUGUGGGUUCUGGGAAGUAGAUGAUGAGGUAGAACCUAUUGCCUGGUUUACUAUCAAACCUUUGGGAGUUACUUCUACGUUGCUUAUAUUGCUAUGCUAUUCUCGUGGACGUGGUUUGGUUCAAGUGAUUCAUGACAGAUGUGAGAGUUAUUAUUAAUGGUGAACUUAAGGUGGCUACUUAAAUACACAUCUGGGUGGAUUGCUUGAGGCACCCUGGAGUACCCAGUGGUUGUCAGGGCACCUGGAGAAUCCAGUGUUGUCCUAGGAUAUCAAGGAGUACCCGUGUGAUUAUCCUACGGUCCGCCACCCAGGCUCAAAGGGAUCAUAAGAUUAUUCAUGCUAGAAACUUCCGUGUGCAGCCACAAGCUAUUAUGGGCUCUAGCAUAGUUGAGUAAGUUGCAAGACCUCUUUCAGUGGUGGGCUAGCAGAUGUAGGGGAAACUAGGUGUAACUGUCCACCCAGAGUAAAGAGUUAUUGUUUCAGAAAGACUAUGUCUCAUUUCUCCGACCAUGGAUGUAUUCGAGUCUUGUGGGGAAAAGUGCGCAAACAUCUGUAGAGUGUACAAACUAAUCAUGGUUAGUCGUGUCCCCUGUUAUGGAUGUUUUGAGUAUCUAGUUCUUGGAUUAUCAUGUUGAUCUCAUCACUCUAAAUAUAAUUUGAUUGGGUUUAAUGAUGAUGUUUAAUUGGGAUUGAGUUGGAGGAACCUUCUCAAUGUUUAACAACCACCAUGAUAGUUAAAUAAAAUUUAUUCCUUUGUUGUAGGAAAAAAUUGGCUUUAUGCAAAACUAUAACCAUAGAGCUUUCCACCAGCCAAAUAUGCAUGUAGUGAUAGCAUUUAUUCUGUUCAUUACCCUAUGUGUUACAUUUCCAGCAUAUUCCAUGUGCUGGCCCGUUUCGGGCUGCAACGUUUCAUAUUGCAGACUUUUCAGACGACGAGUAAGGUGCCAUAGGUCGUUGUCUUUCACUCAGUGAUGCCGUUGGAGUUGAUGGACUCACUUUAUCUUCCAAGCCUUCCGUUGUUAUCGUUUUUAGAUGGCCUUAAGCCAUAUUAUUGUAAUAAGUUCUCUUUUGAGAUAUUCGAUGUAAUAAGUGUGUGAUUGAACCUCUGUUAUAAAUCCUCGAGUACUAUGCGUGUUAGCAUUACCGAUCCAGGGAUGACACUGAUGCAUAGAGAUCAGACUGUUUGAGGUCUGGUCGCUACAAGAUGGUAUCAGAGCACACGCUGACUGUAGGACACGACCACUAAGCUAAAGCUCUAGAUCACUACUAUCUUCUCAUUUCUGACUCCUCUCCCUUUUCUACUCUAUAGGAUGGCGGAUGCAAGGAACAAGUUCACACAACUGGAUGAAGAUACAUCUUUUGGACGACACUUGAAGGAAGUUACUAGAUACCUGAACAUCGGAAUACCAAGCUUCACCGGGAGCUACAUUGCCACUUUACUAGAAGAGGAGCGCUGGAUGAUUCGAGUUCAAGUUCCAGGAAGGACGUUUAUGCCAGUCACUAAGCCCAUAGAGUUUUCCUUUGAUGCACCAACCUGGAGUCUAGGAAAGAGCAUGGCAGCCCACAUCACUAUGGGACGCAUUGGAGAAGUUUGCCACAAGGAUCUCAAGGAUAUUAUCUACCAGAUUUGUGGGCGCCGAGAUGAGCAAUGGGAGAUGAUCAGCACCAGGAGGGACAGGUCUAUUGCAGCCUUCAUCCAGGAGUUAAACCAGCACAUUCGUCGCCAGGAGAACCAGAUGUGCCCAAGCAUGAUAGAUCUAAAGAAGGAAAUGACCAGGAUCACGGAGCUAGAGGAAGAACUCAAGUCUACAUGUGAUGGAUAUGAGGAGGAAAUGAUGAUACUCGUGGAUAAGAAUGAUGAUUUGACAAGGAAGCUAGGAGUAUUCAUGGGAGACCCCGCGCCAGGAGGAGAAGACGAUGAUUCCACUUGUCCGGAGAACUACAUCAUCAUUGAUGACACCGACUCGGACCCCGAUGAUAGCGAUGAUGACUAUGUUGAUGAAGCUGGAGCAGAUAUCAUGGAGUCUUCCAUCGAUCAAGUUUUCUAGUCGACCACCAUACCAGUAGUAGUAUACCCCCAUGUAUAUAGUAUAGUCCGAGCACUUUUGUAACGAUAGUUAGACCGAUUGUAUGCCCUUGCUUGAAUUGAUUGAAGUGAUAUGUUUGUGUUUGUCUCAUGUGCAUAUGGGUAGUGUUUUCCCUCUAAACCUCAUUCUAUUCUGUUUUCUCAUCUUUUCUAAACCCAUCAGAUGCCUCCGAGACGCGACAAUGGAUUUGUUUUCCCGCCGGAGCUCACCGAGUUGAUCCAGCAGUAGAAUGCCUUGAUGCGGAUACUAGUCCAGAAUCAGAAUCAGGGGAACAGCAACAACAACCACCCACCACCACCACCACCUGUUGAUCACUUAGCUCGUUUCUUAAGGCUGAAUCCGCUGGUGUUCUCCAGUAGCACCGAUCCGAUAGUUGCAGACGAUUGGCUCCACAAGAUUGGAAGGGAGUUGACCACUGCAGGAUGCAUAGAUGCGGAGAGAGUGUGAUUUGCCACACAUCAGCUUGAUGGACCCGCAUCAUCAUGGUGGGAGAAUUUCACUGCCACUUACCCCAUCGACACUAUCACAUGGGACCAGUUUUAGCAGGCUUUCCGCGCUGCCCAUGUUUCAGCAGGAGCUAUGGCCAUGAAGAAGCACGAGUUCCGCAACUUGCGCCAAGGAGGAUGCACAGUGGGCCAGUAUGUGGAUGAUUUUAGUAAGUUAGCACGUUAUGGCCCAGAUGACGUUGCUACGGAUGCAGCUAAGCAGGAGAAGUUUCUGAAAGGACUGAAUGAUGAGCUGAGCAUGCAGUUAAUGAUGGCAACCUUCAACAACUACCAGGAGUUGGUAGAUAGAGCUCUUAUGAAUGAAGGGAAGCACCAGCAGAUUGACAAUCGCAAGAGGAAGUAUGGACAAGGGAAGUAUAAUUCAGGAGCUCAGUAGAGACCCCGUUUUACCCCAAACUCGGGAGGACACAUUCACCAUAACCAUGGAGGUCACAAUUCCAAUGGAGGGAGUUCUCACAACCAUAGUGGCCCCAAGAAUGGGAAUGUGAAUGGAGGAAGCAACGUUCAGAACCGUUCCAACCUAGCAACGCCCGCCAAGAAGGAUCUAAGUCACAUUACUUGUUUCAAGUGCGGGAAGAAUGGACGUUACGCCAUGGAGUGUUCUGAAGCUAAGAAUGGAAAUGGCAAUGGAAGCUCUGGGAAGAAGCCCAACCCUUUCAACAGGGGACAAGUGAACCAUGUUAACGUGGAGGAGGUUGAAGCGCAACCAGAUGCAGUAAUAGGUAAGUUUUUGGUUAAGUCAUUUACUGCAAUCGUUCUUUUUGAUACUGGUGCAUCGCAUUCAUACAUAUCAAGGGGAUUUGUGGAUAAGUAUAAGUUGCCCACCAAAGUUCUUAGAACACCUAUGUUAGUAAGCUCGCCGGGAGCAGAGCAUAUGGUAAGCCAAGGAUGUUUUCAAAUGCCAUUGACCAUAGGUAGGCAUGUUUUCCCCUCAGAUCUGAUAAUUCUAGAGUCACAAGGUUUGGAUGUGAUUUUGGGUAUGGAUUGGCUAUCGGUGUAUGGAGGGAACAUUGAUUGCGCCAGUAAGUCGAUUAUGCUCACCACCCCAGAAGAAGGAGGAUUAAGUAUGUAUCCCGGCAUGUGCCAAAGAGGACUCAAGUGAAUUCCUUAUAAGGAGUUGUACAGGAGGAAGUACCAGUGGUGAAGUAUUUCCCUGAUGUAUUUCCAGAGGAAUUGCCAGGCAUGCCACCGGAUAGAGACAUCGAGUUUUUGAUUGAGCUUUUGCCAGGCACAGGGCCAAUAUCUAAGAGACCGUAUAGGAUGCCCGCAAAGGAUUUGGAGGAAAUUAAGAAGUAGAUUAAGGAGUUACUGGAUAAAGGGUAUAUCCGCCCAAGUUCGUCACCUUGGGGAUUACCAGUGCUUCUAGUGGAGAAGAAGGAUGGAUCGUUGAGGAUGGUUGUUGAUUAUCGUGGAUUGAAUGAAGUGACAAUCAAGAACAAGUACCCACUACCGAUGAUCAAUGAUUUGUUUGACCAGUUGCAAGGAGCUAAAGUAUUUUCCAAGAUCGAUCUGCGAUCACGAUAUCACCAGCUAAAGAUUCAAGAGCAGGAUAUACCUAAGACAGCUUUUACCACAAGGUACGGGUUAUAUGAGUAUACCGUUAUGUCAUUCGGCCUGACUAACACACCUGCAUAUUUCAUGAACAUGAUGAACCAGGUGUUUAUGGAGUUUUUGGAUAAAUUUGUCGUGGUGUUCAUUGAUGAUAUAUUGGUCUACUCGAAUAAUGAAGAGGAGCAUAAGGAGCAUUUGCGUUUGGUACUUGGGAAGCUCAGAGAACAUCAGUUAUAUGCCAAGUUCAGCAAAUGUGAGUUUUGGUUGAAGGAAGUUGGAUUCCUCGGACAUGUUAUAUCCGGAGAAGGAAUAGCAGUAGACCCCACCAAGGUUGUCACUGUGACAAACUGGGAAGCACCCACGUCAGUUGGAGAGAUCCGAAGUUUUCUUGGACUCGCAGGAUACUACAGGAGGUUCAUUAAGAAUUUCUCGAAGAUUGCAAAGCCCAUGACGGAGUUGUUGAAGAAGGACACCAGGUUCAAAUGGACUAAGGGAUGUGAGGCCAGUUUUCAGGAGUUGAAGAAAUGUUUGGUUACAGCUCCAGUGUUGAUUCUUCCAGAUCAAUGCAAGGAUUAUCAGGUGUAUUGCGACGCUUCUCGUCGAGGACUUGCAGCAGUGCUUAUGUAGGAGGGAAGAGUUGUUUCAUAUGCCUCACGACAGCUUAAACCCCAUGAGUUGAAUUAUGCUACACAUGAUUUGGAGUUAGCAGCCGUAGUGCGUGCGUUGAAGACGUGGAGACAUUUUCUCAUCGGAAACCAUUGUGAGGUGUACACGGAUCACAAGAGUUUGAAGUAUAUCUUCACGCAAAAGGAGUUGAAUCUCAGGCAGAGGAGAUGGUUGGAGCUCAUCAAUGAUUAUGAUAUGAGGUUGCAUUAUCAUCCCGGAAAGGCUAACGUAGUAGCCGAUGCGUUGAGCCGCAAGAGUCAUGUCAAUACACUCAUGACUGGAGAAUUACCCAAGGAGUUAGUAGAAGAUCUUCGCGAGCUAAGUUUGGAGAUAGUUCCGAGAGGCUAUGUAGCAGCAUUGGAAAUUCAGUCUACCUUAAUGGAUAAGAUCAGAGAAGCUCAGAAGAUGGACAAGGAGAUUGCCGAGAUAAAGGAAAGGAUGAGCAAAGGAAAGGCCAAAGGAUUUCAUGAGGAUGAACACGAUACCUUAUGGUUUGAGGACCGCGUAUAUGUGCCUAAUGACCCUGAGAUCAGGAAGUUGAUUCUGCAGGAGGCCCAUGAUUCACCAUAUUCGAUUCACCCAGGAAACACCAAGAUGUAUCUAGAUUUGAAGGAUAGUUUCUCGUGGACCGGAAUGAAGAAGGAUAUUGCUGAGUAUGUAGCAGUUUGUGAUGUAUGUCAAAGAGUGAAGGCAGAGCAUCAGAAGCCAGCAGGAUUGCUACAGCCAUUGCCGAUACCCGAAUGGAAGUGGGAUAAGCUAGGCAUGGAUUUUAUCACGGGAUUUCCCAGGACUCAUUCAGGCUAUGACUCGAUAUGGGUUGUAGUCGAUCGUUUGACGAAGGUAGCUCAUUUCGUCCCAGUGAAGACCACUUACACCAGUGCUAAGUUGGCAAAGAUAUACAUGACCAGGAUCGUAUGUCUGCAUGGAGUUCCUAGGAACAUUGUAUCAGAUAGAGGAACCCAGUUUACCUCAAAGUUCUGGAAUCAAUUGCAUGAGACUUUGGGUACCGGGCUAGAGUUCAGUACAUCUUUUCAUCCACAAACAGAUGGACAGACCGAGAGAGUCAAUCAGAUUCUGGAGGACAUGUUGAGAGCUUGUGCGCUAGACUGUGGACCUAGUUGGGACGACAAUUUGCCUUAUGCAGAGUUCUCUUCCAAUAACAGAUAUCAAGCCAGUUUGAAGAUGGCCCCUUACGAAGCCUUGUACGAAAGGAGGUGCAAGACACCGUUGUUAUGGGAUGAAGUUGGAGACCGUCAGUUGUUUGGACCAGAUUUGAUAAAGGAGUCUGAAGAGAAGGUUAAGAUGAUUAGACUCAAGGUAGCCCAGUCCAGGCAGAAGAGCUAUGCAGAUUCGAAAUGCAAGGAGACAGUUUACGAAGUCGGAGACAGAGUGUAUCUUCGUGUGUCCCCGCUUCGAGGAGUUAAAGGUUUUGGAGUUAAGGGAAAGUUAGCACCACGUUUUGUGGGACCAUACAAAGUUUUGGAACGUAUGGGAGAAGUUGCUUACAAGUUGGAAUUACCAGAAGGAUUGUCAGGAGUUCAUGAUGUGUUCCAUGUUUCCUAGUUGAAGAAGUGUCAUGCAGAGAUGGCCGAUAUUCCUCUGAGAGAUACAGUGCCACUGGAAGCAAUUCAGUUGGAUAGUGAUUUGACCUACGAGGAGAAACCAGUGAAGAUUCUCGAGUUUGCCAGCCAAGUCACCCGCAGCAAGGUUAUCAAGUUUUGCAAAGUUCAGUGGAGCCACCAUAUCGAGGAUGAAGCCACCUGGGAACGAGAGGAAGACCUAUGGAAGGACCACCCUCACCUAUUUUCUAUCCAACCCGAAUGUCAAGGGCGAGAUUAAUCUUAAGGAGGGUAAGUUUGUAACAUCCCAAAUUUUCAAUUUGGAAUGUUAUACAUUAGAUCAUCAUUGAAUAUCAUAUUUUUAUUGCAUUUUGGGUUGAUCCUAGAAAUUCUACGCAACUCAAGGACCCACAGAGAGAGUUGGGGAUUUUGUUAUUUUCAUAUUUGAGUUUUCUCAAAUUUUGAAAACAGGAUCGUUUGAUUUUUAUUAUUUUCUCUUCGAAUAUUUAUUAUAUGAAAAUAAAAGAGAGGGGAUAAAAUUACUUUCCCAAAAUAAAGAAAUAUUGGAGGUUAAAUAUUAAAAUCAAAUAAGAAUUUUAUGUGGAGUUUUAUUGCUAUUUUAUUUGAAUUAGCAAAAAAAUGUGUUUCUCAAAAUUGCAUUAGAGGCCAAUAUAAAUGUUCGCUUUGUCCGCUAUAUUUUUAGAGGACGGGGAAAAUUUAUUUCAGGAUUUUUGGAGUCCGUUUGGUAUUUCUUUUCUUCGUUUUUCUGCGCAGCAGAAUAUUUAAAAAAAUGAACCGACCUUACAGGGCCGUGUCCGCCUGGGACACCCACCCGGCCGGCCUUUAUAAGCAGAAGGCCCGACCCGGCCGAAAACCUAGCCAGCCGCCGCCCUGCCGCCUCGAUUCCCGCACAGCCGCCGCCGCCGCCAGUCGCCACGCCGCCGCCGCCGCCCGUNNNNNNNNNNNNNNNNNNNNNNNNNNNNNNNNNNNNNNNNNNNNNNNNNNNNNNNNNNNNNNNNNNNNNNNNNNNNNNNNNNNNNNNNNNNNNNNNNNNNNNNNNNNNNNNNNNNNNNNNNNNNNNNNNNNNNNNNNNNNNNNNNNNNNNNNNNNNNNNNNNNNNNNNNNNNNNNNNNNNNNNNNNNNNNNNNNNNNNNNNNNNNNNNNNNNNNNNNNNNNNNNNNNNNNNNNNNNNNNNNNNNNNNNNNNNNNNNNNNNNNNNNNNNNNNNNNNNNNNNNNNNNNNNNNNNNNNNNNNNNNNNNNNNNNNNNNNNNNNNNNNNNNNNNNNNNNNNNNNNNNNNNNNNNNNNNNNNNNNNNNNNNNNNNNNNNNNNNNNNNNNNNNNNNNNNNNNNNNNNNNNNNNNNNNNNNNNNNNNNNNNNNNNNNNNNNNNNNNNNNNNNNCCACCGCCCGCCACCGGAUCCCCUCGCCGCCGCCGCCGCCGACCUCCGUCGGACCUCGCCGAGGUAGCCCACCGCCGCCGCCGAUUUUCCUUAGAAAACCGUAUGUUUUUUUUGAAAACCCUAAGUUUUUUUAUAGAUCGGUUUUUUUCCCAGUUUAGUUAUUUAGCGAGCGCUCGUUCGUACGUUCAUUUUAACGAACGGUGUUCACCCGUUAGCCGCAGACAGCGAACGUUCGUAUGUUAGUCUGUUCGUCAGUUUUUCUUUUUCCAGGGUUUUUCUGUGAUUAUUUUCGAUCGUGAUUUCUGCCCUGAUUUUUGUUUUAGUUUAUAUUUUGGCUCGUUUAUCAGAAUCAGGCGAUUCAAGCGCCUAGAUCUUCGUCUCGAAGCCCUCUUUCUGUUUAACCAACUUGAAAAAGAUUUUGGUACUGUAAAAUUUGACUUUUGUCCAGAUUAGUAAACGAAUCUUGUUUCUUUCGCAAUUUGAGUUUCGUUGCCUCGUUUGAUUUGAUUCUUUUUGCAUCCCGGAGUUCUUAAGUUGAAAUUUCUGGUUAGAUCUCUUAUUUGACUUUUACCCAUGCUUCUAGUUGAGUGCUCAUUGUAUGCUUUGUCUGUUUGCGAUAGAGUACCCGGAGUGCGAAGGUGCUACUACGAGUCUCUAGGUUUCACGGGUCAUCAGCAAGGCAAGUAACACUUUGAUCAUACCUAUUUACUACCCAGUUUUAUUGCAUUAUAACAAUCCUUAAACAAAUGCAUGGUUAGGAUCUGUUUAACAUGUGGGUUCUGGGAAGUAGAUGAUGAGGUAGAACCUAUUGCCUUGUUUAGUAUCAAACCUUUGGGAGUUACUUCUACGUUGCUUAUAUUGCUAUGCUAUGCUCGUAGACGUGGUUUGGUUCAAGUGAUUCAUGACAGAUGUGAGAGUUAUUAUUAAUGGUGAACUUAAGGUGACUACUUAAAUACACAUCUGGGUGGAUUGCUUGAGGCACCCUGGAGUACCCAGUGGUUGUCAGGGCACCUGGAGAAUCUAGUGUUGUCCUAGGAUAUCAAGGAGUACCCGUGUGAUUAUCCUACGGUCCGCCACCCAGGCUCAAAGGGAUCAUAAGAUUAUUCAUGCUAGAAACUUCCGUGUGCAGCCACAAGCUAUUAUGGGCUCUAGCAUAGUUGAGUAAGUUGCAAGACCUCUUUCAGUGGUGGGCUAGCAGAUGUAGGGGAAACUAGGUGUAACUGUCCACCCAGAGUAAAGAGUUAUUGUUUCAGAAAGACUAUGUCUCAUUUCUCCUACCAUGGAUGUAUUCGAGUCUUGUGGGGAAAAGUGCGCAAACAUCUGUAGAGUGUACAAACUAAUCAUGGUUAGCCGUGUCCCCGGUUAUGGACGUUUUGAGUAUCUAGUUCUUGGAUUAUCUUGUUGAUCUCAUCACUCUAAAUAUAAUUUGAUUGGGUUUAAUUAUGAUGUUUAAUUGGGAUUGAGUUGGAGGAACCUUCUCAAUGUUUAACAACCACCAUGAUAGUUAAAUAAAAUUUAUUCCUUUGUUGUAGGAAAAAAAUUGGCUUUAUGCAAAACUGUAACCAUAGAGCUUUCCACCAGCCAUAUAUGCAUGUAGUGAUAGCAUUUAUUCUGUUCAUUACCCUAUGUGUUACAUUGCCAGCAUAUUCCAUGUGCUGACCUGUUUCGGGCUGCAAUGUUUCAUGUUGCAGACUUUUCAGAUGACGAGUAAGGUGCCAUAGGUCAUUGUCUUUCACUCAGUGAUGUCGUUGGAGUUGAUGGACUCACUUUAUCUUCCAAGCCUUCCGCUAUUAUCGUUAUUAGAUGGCCUUAAGCCAUAUUAUUAUAAUAAGUUCUCUUUUGACAUUCGAUGUAAUAAGUAUGUGAUUGAACCUCUGUUAUAAAUCCUUGAGUACUAUGUGUGUCAGCAUUACCGAUCCAGGGAUGAGACUAAUGCACAAAGACCAGACUGUUUGAGGUCUGGUCGCUACAGUGGUGCUCUCUAACCGGUGCUUUUUAUAAGAGGAUGAUGACUCAACAAUAAAAGUAAAUAUAUAGGCCCUUCACAGAGUGAAGCAGGUGUGACAGCCUGGAUUUGUCUUCUCUCUUUUUUCGGACUUUCUUUUGCCUUUGCUUUGGAUUUGGAGUUUGGAAUCAAUUCAAUGGACUUGAGUACUUGGGCCUACCCUUGAUUUUUACCAAAGUGACCCAUCCACCCCUAACUCAACUUUCUUUCUCCGAAAAAUUCCCAAAAAUGACCCAAGGAAUAUUUUUCAUAAAAGAAAAAUAUUCAUUUUCUUCUCUGAAAAUCACUUCACAGAAGUAUGCUCCAAAGCAACCCUCAUUUUUAUUGCUCCUAAAAUCCUAAGAAAAUUCACAAAUAUUAUUUCAACCCUAGGGAACCUCCCUGAGCAAAAAUAUUGCAUAACUUUUUGGAAUAUUUUUGCUACAAAAACCAUUUCUGUUCUGGACAGAAUAGCCACUUUACACAGCAAGUAUGUUUUUCCUUGAUCCAAUGUGGGGUCGAUCCUUUCUGAGCUUCAUUACCUUCCUAAGAGAAUGCUAAACCCCAAAGCCCAGCCCUUAACUCUUACUGAAUCACUCUCAGUUAACCUCACAAGUUACUGUCUAGAAACUUACCAGGAAGUAAACCACACACUCACAGCUCCUGGGUUCAACUCAAAUCGUUGGAACCACUAAAACCACUAAGGACUACAUGCCAGACAUGAAGUUUGCGCUUAGCACGGCCUGAUGUCAUAGUUCACGUGGUGACCGCGUUUGUCCAGGGGUGCUGGCAUGCAGCCGGCAUGCUCUGCGACACACCCGCGCUUCUGUUGAGCGCGUGCUCGCUUCCCCGACCACCAGACCUUGCCAAACCUCACCACCAUCCUCGUAUCCACCCCCUUAACUCUGCCCUAGCACUCACCGAUGCCGGAGCUUGCCGCAGCGAGCACGGGCAUGAUGCAGCCAAGCCAACAGUGCGCUCGUGCGACUAUGCUCGUUGCGUUCCUGGCUCCUGUGCUCCUCUCCGCCCUCCCACAGUGCCCGCGUGAGCUGCGUCGCCUUUUUCCUCUCUCGCUGACGUCGUUCGUCAUCGAGCGCCAUGUCCGGAAGCUUCACGGCGGAUCCUGAUCCCCUCCUCUCUCUUGACUAUAUAUAUGGCCCCCUCCCGACUCCUUGAGCAUCACCACACACACCCACAGCCUCCACGAGCUCAUAGAAUAACCAUAGCCCGGUCGGGCAGGCCUUUGGCCGCCGCCCCGACCCAAGCUCACCGGCGAUUCCCCGUAGCCCCUCCACCUCACUCCACUACCUCCCGAGCUCCACCCACUCCUCUGGCGGCUUGCUGGUGGUUCGCUGGUGCCGUCCAAUCACGUUGCAGCCGCUGGUGAAGCCCCACGACGCCGUCAUCAUCAACUCCGGCGACCUCUGUUUUCUGCCGCUGCUGGAGAGCUCCGUUCUGACCCCGUUCGGCCACCCCUAGCCAUGCUACGGGUAUGGGCAGGUGCGCCUCGACCUCCUCUAUCUCCCUAUCCCUUCAGAUCUAGCCAUCAGGCACUCCUCAUUGGAGAACACGCCGCCGACGUGCCGCCCGCCUCUGUUUCUCUUUCCCCCUCCCUUUGACUUGACCAGUGGGGCCCUCUGUCAGCCUCUCAGCCACACGCGAAGGGGUAUGAGUGGUGGCGCAUUUCAGAAGUGCGCCAUUGAUGUCACCCCCUGGUUUUCUUUUAUUUCAAAUUUAGAUCAAAUUUUUACAAGAACUUUCACUAGCUAUAACUCCUAACCACAGGUCCAAAUGAGUUGAUUCUUUUUGCAUUGUGUUCUUACUGGAAAGCUCUAGCAGCACAGCCAAGAUGAGAUUUUUCUCUGCUGCCUAGGUUUUCUGGUAAUUUUCAGAAGUGUUCUUGAUGUUUUCUUUUUGUCAUUUUAUUUAUCUUCAAAAGGAGAAGCUUGUCGUGAAGAUAUCCAGGAGGAGUGUGAAGCUCCUCUUAACUAAGGCAAGCCACACAAACAUUUUCAUGGUGUCUUUGCAAUAUCCAUGAUAUUUCCAACUUGAAUAUAUGAUAUUUCUUGCAUAUAGUUAUUAAAUGAAUAAUACUUGUGUUAGUUAUUUUGUCAUGAGCAAGAUGCUUAGUUUACAGAAGUGAGUGCUUGAACUAGUGAGAUCUAGCAUGAGUAGUUAACUACGUGAUUUUGUUAUGACUAUGGUAUGAUGAGCAUCGGUAUUAUUUUCAUAUAUGCAUGAUGAGUUUCAUAUAGUAAAUGGUAAACUAGAAAUGAUGAGUGCAAAUAACCAGUAAGAAAGACUCAGCAAAGUUUAGUGAUGAUUUGUGCAAGUAGAAAUUUUGAUGAGGUUGACCUGUUAUUUUCAAGUGAUAUGAAAUGCAUGUCAUAUGGUUGCAUGAGCAUGGCAUAUGGUGACUCGAGCAUUUUAUUUCAAGUUAAACCUGAUGUUAAUUGAACUAGAACAUAAAGUUGAUCGGUUCAUGGUGCCACUGAAUCGGGCUGACCAGUGCAACCACAUUUGCCUUUUAUGGGAAGGCCGUUACUCGGUUCGUUGUCAUGCCUCUUGUCGGUGCCUCCAACGAGGGAAGGUUAUGGGCGUGCGUUACCCAGGCCCGGUAAGCAGACAUAACCUUGUGUGCCCGUUGUUGUUGAGAUGGUACCUUGUCCCUGUUUGGGACCGUUUUGUUUUGCCACGACGGUGACCGUGAUGCCUUUGGUAGGCACGGGGCCACCCAUGACUUAGCCCAGUGGGGAGUUAGUCGGAGUGGCCGAGAGAGUGUCAUGGCAAUGGGAGAGUUCUGUCAGAAUGCCAUUGGUCCACCCGAAUGGGAGUGCGAGGCCAUGGGUUCCGUGGUGUGGGUAUAGUGCGCUACCUCUGCAGAGUGUAUUAAAUCUAUCAAUAGCCGCGCCCGUGGAUAAGGGCCCAGUUCAUAAGUAAGUCACACCAUGGAUCAACUUUUACAAAGUAAUCUUGCACACUAAGUUAUUUGCAUAGCACUGGUUAAAUCAUGAUGAUGUCAGUGAGACUCGCCGUUGUGGUUUCUUUUGUGAUCCGUGAAUGAUCACCGUUUGGUUAUAAGGUAACCCGUUGAACCGAGUGUGGUUCUGUUUGUGAUCCAUGAAUGAUCACCGCUUGGUUGCGAGGCAACCCGUUGGUAAGAGAGUCUGAGGGACUCGGUGCACAAGUUUGGAUGAAUGGCAUGAGAAGCAUGUUGUUAUUUGCAUUUAACUUGAUUAAAUGUCAUGAUAUUGUUUGUCAUUAUGUUUAUGCUUGUUGUGAGCUUGCAAGUACAUUCAAUUUACUAACCUGGCAUGUUAUGCCAGAUUUCAGGAAAGUCUAACUGGAUCGGAGUGCUGUUGUGUCUAGAUCGUGUCCACACCAGUGUCCCUAUGAUAUGGAGUCCCGCUUCCUCGUUGUUCCGCUGCCGCGUAGUUGUCGUGAUCGAGGCCCCUUUAAGUUCACUAAAUAAUGUACAUAUUGUUCAACCGCAUCGAGUGUGCCGCUUGGCCUCGCUACUUGAUGUAAUAUCACACUAUGCUUCCUCUAGUAUCAAUAAAGCGGUUGUUUUCUAUACCAAGAUGUUGUGCAUUGCUAGAAGACUUGAUCUCUGGGUUGGCAAUGCAAGGUAAACCGGUUGCUCUGAGCCGAGGUGGCACAUCACGAUUUGCAGAGGUGCUAGAGCUCGAAGCUUUUAAAACAGAGAUAAAUAUAAUUUUGAGUGGCAUGCUUUCAUUGUCAACAUGACAACCAAGAUAUCUCACUAUCUUCCAUGCUAGAUACAUUAUAGGCGGUUCCCAAACAUAAUGGUAAAGUUUUUACUCCCCCUCCACCAACAAUCACACUCCACGGUUAGACGAAUACACGGGUGCCGUCCAUACCAACAACAGUCCUGGGGUAGUUUUGUUUUAUGAUUAUAUUUUGAUUUUAUUUUGAGCAUGGAACUAGGCAACCCGAUUACCAGCCACUCUCUCGUGAAUGGCAAGUGAAUAAACACUCAUUGUUAGAAUAAUCCACCUAGCAUUGAAGAUACUACCAGCCGCAGUCGCUACAUGAGUGAUCCGGGCAUACAAAACUGGUUAUUAUUUGAAGGUUUAGAGUUUGGCACAUGGAAAUUUACUUGGAACAGCAGGUAAAUACCGCAUAUAGGUAGGUAUGGUCGAUUCAUAUGGAACAACUUUCGGUUUAAGGAAGUGGAUGCACAAGCAUUAUUCCCUCUUAGUACAAGUGAAGGCUAGCAAAAGAUUGAGGAGCGGCCAACUAGAGAAUGACAACGGUCAUAAAAUGCAUUGAGAUUAAUCAACAUUGAGUGCAAGUAUGAGUAGGAUAUAUAUCACCAUGAACAUAAAUAUCAUGGAGACUAUGUUGUUUUUGAUUCAGCUACAUGUGUGAGCAUGUGCCAAGUCAAGCCACUUAAAUCAUUCAAAGGAGGAUACCAUCCUAUCGUACUACAUCACAACCAUUUUAAAAUACAUGUUGGCACACAAGACAGACCAUUAUCCACUCCUAUCUAAUUAAGCAUGGCAUGAGUAACUAUAAUCUCUAAUUGUCAUUGCAAACACACUUCAUUCAUAAUAGGCUGAAUCAGGAACGAUGAGCUAAUCAUAUUUACAUAAACAAAAUAGGUUGAGUCCAUACCAGAUUUUCUCCAUCUCAAUUAUUUCAUCAAACAUUGUCAUUGUUGCCUUUCACUUGCACGAUCGAACAGUGUGACUAAUAAUAAGAGUGCACGUGCAUUGGAAUAAGCUAGAAUCUGCAAACAUUUAUUCAAAGGAUAAGACAAGGUAAUAUGGGCUCUUUGUUAGAACAACAAUAAUGCAUAUGAGAGCCACUCAAAAUUUUCAUCGUGGUCUUCUCCUUACGACCCAAAGAAAGGAAAAUAAUUUCAAAGAAACAGACUGAAAUAUUUUUGGAGUUUUUGUUUUUCUGAAGAAAGUAAAACGAAGAUGAGAAAAACUAUUUACACAAGAAAGCUCCCAACAAGAAAAAUAAGAAUGAGAAAUCUUUUGGGGUUUUCUUUUAAUACUACAACUACUAAACUAGAAAGAAAAACUAAAAAGAAGAACUAUUUUUUUUAUUUUCUCAAAGUUUUUCAAACACACAAGAAGAAAGCAAGAAGAAUAAACUAACAUGGAUAAUACAAAGAAAAAGUAUGAACACCGACACCUGAAAUGAGUAUGAACAUCAAUGUAUUGUUGGUGAGACAUACAUACUCCCCCAAGCUUAGGCUUUUGGCCUAAAUUGGUCUAGGGCCACGGCUCGAAAUAAUCCUCUCCUCGAUACUCCGGAGGGUCCUGGGGGUUCCACUGGUUGGCGAGCUCCUGUGGUUCCCGCUGAUAAAUAGGUUCAUGAUACGGAUCAGGUGAUAUGGCUAGCUCAGGGACUGGGGAUCGCAUCCGCUCCCAGUAUGCUUAAAUGUACUCGGGCAUAAUAAUGUACCUGCCUGAAUGAAUAUCGAACAAAGAAGGUGCAGACAAAGUAAUAAUCUGACAAGUAUGCUGACUGAAUACUAGGUUAUAGAUGAGCCGCUUGUCAUCAUCCUUGGCAAUACAAUCAUGUGCUGCCAUACUAGCAUAGUUCAAAUAUUUAGUGGGUAAUAACAUCUCCUCCUCAUCAUCAUGCCUAAUGGGUAUCUCAAAAUGUCUAGCAAGGUGGGAAGCAUAGACACCUCCAAAAACAGGACCUUUCGAGUGAUUUCUGUUUAUCUGUCGAGCAACCAUGGCACCCAAACUAAAAAGUUCUAUCAGAAUAUAAAGCAUGGCGCAAAAUAGCAAGGUUAGGGGCACUAAGGCCUCCACUCUCCCCACGACCAAUCAAACAUCUCCCAGAAAAUAAUGAAUAAUAGCAUAAAACAUGAAAAAUGUAAACUAGCCACUCUCGCCUCUGACACCCCUCUCUCUUCCCCCACAGUAGUUUCAGAAAUAAAGUCCUCAAUGUCUCUAGGACGUGGCUCACUGACGCUUCCCUCAUAAGGUAUUUUAAACAUCGCAAAAAUCAUAGAGUUUCAUUCUCUUAAGCACAUCAUACAAGUGAAAUUCUACCAUGAGAGGAUCCUACCUAGAAUGAAAGUGAAAAUUUUGCACGAAGGUAUUAGUGAGUAGGAGGUAUUGGUCACAAUUAUCUUGGAGGAAGGCGGUGAUGCCGACAUUCUCCGCCAAAUGAUAGAAAUCAUCAUAAAUAUUGGCCUCUCUCAAGAAUAUGCCACUUGGCCACUCACACAGCCUAACCUCCGCAGAGCGAGGAAGGUUGUACUUGGGCUUCUUCUUCUCCUCAUUUUCAUUUCCCUCUGAAUUCCGGCUUGAAGAACCCCUUAACCACCUUUUCAUGGUUUCUCUUUCCUCUGAAAAUUUCUAAACUUUUUAGUGACUCAAAAUAAAAGUGAACAAAACUCAACAAAACUAAUAGCAACUACUCCCACAAGUGCCUAGAGGCUAUAUCAUGCCACAAAACUACUUUUGACCAUAUAAAUUUGACAUGCAAGAUCAAGAACAAUGUCACCACAAUAGCAAAAAUUUGCAAUAAAUAAAGCACUAGAACAAAAACUAAUUGGACCAACGGAGGAUUCACAUUCCGAAGAACAAUCCCCCAAAACAGUUUCGGAAAUGAAGUUCCAAGCAAGGAGAUCGAAAAUGGCAACAAAAUGAGCAAGAACACAGGUUUGAGCAAUGGUGGGAUUUUUUCUGGAGGAAGACGAAGUGGAUGGGUGCUGGAAUAAGUGAGGGGGACCCACAUGGGACCCACAAGCCAUGUAGGUGCGCCUAGGGGGGUGGGGGCGCCCUGUGGGCUUGUGGUCCACUGGUGCACCUCCCUGAGAUGUUUUCGGUGCCAAAAAUUCUUAAAUAUUACAUAAAAAUCAUACUAAAUUUUAAGGGCUUUUGGAGAACUUUUAUUUUCUAGUCUUUUUUUAUUGCACAGAUAGUUCAGAAAAUUGAGAGAUAACAAUAUUUUUGCUUUAUUUAUUCUAAAUAACAGAAAGUAAAAAGUGAGUACAGAGAGUUGUGUUUACUAAAUUCAUCCAUCUCAUGCCCAUCAAAAAGAAUCCAUUAACAAGGUUGAUCAAGCUCUAUAUUUACUGAAUUCAUCCAUCUCAUGCCCAUCAAAAGGAAUCCAUUAACAAGGUUGAUCAAGUCUUGUUAAUAUACUUCUUUCGAAUGACAUGAAACCGGAGAAUCUUUGUAUAACACUAGGUUACCUCAAUGGGGAUAUGCAUGUCCCCAACAAUAAGAAUAUCAUAUUUCUUUCUGACGGUAGGGAGAGGGAAUUCGAAACCUCCAAUAGUAAUUGUUGAAAAUUUUCCAAUAGAAUUGAUACUAUUCACUUGAGGUUGUUUCCUCGGAAAGUGUACCGUAUGCUCAUUACCAUUAACAUGAAAAGUGACAUUGCCCUUGUUGCAAUCAAUAACAGCCCCUGCAGUAUUCAAGAAGGGUCUACCAAGGAUGAUCGACAUACUGUCAUCCUCGGGUAUAUCAAGAAUAACAAAGUCCGUUAAUAUAGUAACAUUUGCAACUACGGCAUGCACAUCCUCACAAAUACCGAUGGGUAUAGUAGUAGAUUUAUCAGCCAUUUGUGAAGAGAUUUCAAUUGGUGUCAACUUAUUCAAAUCAAGUCUACGUUAUAAAGAGAAAGGCAUAACACUAACACUGGCUCCCAAAUCACAUAAAGCAGUUUUAACAUAGUUUCUUUUAAUGGAGCAUGGUAUAGUUGGUAUUCCUGGAUCUCCUAGUUUCUUUGGUAUUCCACCUUUAAAUGUGUAAUUAGCAAGCAUGGUGGAAAUUUUAGCUUCUGGUAUCUUUCUUUUAUUUGUAACAAUAUCUUUCAUGUACUUAUCAUAAGGAGACAUUUUCAGAAUAUUAGUCAAACGCAGACGCAAAAAGACAGGUCUAAGCAUUUCACAAAGCGCUCAAAGUCCACACCAUCCUUUUUCUUGGAUGGUUUAGGAGUAAAGGGCAUUGGUUUCUGAACCCAUGGUUCUCUUUCUUUUCCAUGUUUUCUAGCAAUGAAGUCUCUCUUAUCAUAUCUUUUAUUUUUAGGUUGUGGGUUAUCAAGAUCAACAUUAGGUUCUAUCUCCACAUCAUUAUCAUUGCUAGGUUGAGCAUCAACAUGAACAUCAUCUUCAUCACCUGAUUGUGUCUCAGCAUCAGAAAUAUAAAUGUCAUUUAGAUUCUCAGGUGUUUCUAUAACAGGUUCACUGGAAGCAUGCAAAGUCGUAUCAUCUUUCUUUUUAUUUCUAAAGGGACUAGGUGCAUCAGUAUUAAUUUUCUGAGGGACUUGUUCUACUCUCUUAGGAUGGCCCUGAGGAUACAAAGAAUCCUGAGUCAUUUUACCACCUCUAGUCAUAACUCUAACAACAUGAUCAUUAUUUUUAUCAUUCAUCUCAUUUAGCAAAUCAUUUUGUGCAUUGAGAACUUGUUCUACUUGAGUUUUUUUUACCAUGGAAGCAUGUUUACUCAUAAUCUUGAGAUCAUUAAUAGUUCUACACAUAUAGUCACCCAAGCAGUCAAGCAUAUAAGCAUUACGUUUCAAUUGUCUACUAACAUAUGCAUUGAAGUUUUCUUGAUUAACAAUAAAGUUAUCAAACUCAUCCAAGCAUUAACUAGCAGACUUAUUAUAAGGAAUGUCACAUUCAUCAAAUCUAUAGAGAGAAUUUACCUCUGUUACCUGUGUCAGGUUAUCAAGACCAUGUAUUUCUUCAAUAGGUGGUAAAUUCUUAACAUUUUCACCUUUAAUACCUUUUUCUUUCAUAGAUUUCUUUGCCUCUUGCAUAUCUUCAGGACUGAGAAAUAGAAUACCUUUCUUCUUCGGAGUUGGCUUAGGUGGUGGUUUGGGAAGAGUCCAAUAAUUAUCAUUACUCGAUAUAUUAUUCAAUAGUACUUCAGCUUGUUCAACAGUUCCUUCCCUGAAAACACAACCAGUACAAUGAUGUCUACUACACAACCUUCUUCUUGUAGAUGUUGUUGGGCCUGCAAGUGCACAGGUUUGUAGGACAGUAGCAAAUUUCCCUCAAGUGGAUGACCAAAGGUUUAUCAAUCCGUAGGAGGCGUAGGAUGAAGAUGGUCUCUCUUAAACAACCCUACAACCAAAUAACAAAGAGUCUCUUGUGUCCCCAACACACCCAAUACAAUGGUAAAUUGUAUAGGUGUACUAGUUCGGCGAAGAGAUGGUGAGACAAAUGCAAUAUAGAUAGUAGAUAUAGGUUUUUGUAAUCUGAAAUAAUAAAAACAACAAGGUAACUAAUGAUAAAAGUGAGCACAAACGGUAUUGCAAUGAUAGGAAACAAGGCCUAGGGUUCAUACUUUCACUAGUGCAAGUUCUCUCAACAAUAAUAACAUAGAUAGAUCAUAUAACAAGCCCUCAACAUGCAACAAAGAGUCACUCCAAAGCCACUAAUAGCGGAGAACAAACGUAGAGAUUAUGGUAGGGUAUGAAACCACCUCAAAGUUAUUCUUUCGAAUCAAUCUAUUAAAGAGUUCGUACUAGAAUAACACCUUCAGACACAAAUCAACCAAAACCCUAAUGUCACCUAGAUACUCCAUUGUCAUCUCAAGUAUCCAUGGGCAUGAUUAUAUGAUAUGCAUCACACAAUCUCAGAUUCAUCCAACCAACACAAAGUACUUCAAAGAGUGCCCCAAAGCUUCUACCGGAGAGUCAAGAAAACGUGUGCCAACCCCUAUGCAUAGGUUCAUGGGCGGAACCCGCAAGUUGGUCACCAAAAACAUACAUCAAGUGGCACGUGAUAUCCCAUUGUCACCACAGAUAAACACAGCAAGACAUACAUCAAGUGUUCGAGGGGUCCAUGAGACAGGGGGCCACGCCCUGUAGGGGGGCGCCCCCCUAUCUCCUGGGCUCCUCGAGUAUCUUCUGACUUGAUCUCCAAGCCUCCAGGAUGAUAUUCUUCCAAAAAAUCACGAUGCUGAAGGUUUCAUUCCGUUUGGACUCCGUUUGAUAUUCCUUUUCUUCGAAAUACUGAAACAGGCAAUAAAACAGCAAUAUGGGCUGGGCCUCCGGUUAAUAGGUUAUUCCCAAAAGUAAUAUAAAAGUGAAUAAUAAAGCCCGUAAUCAUUCAAAACACAUAAUAAUAUAGCAUGAAUGCUUCAUAAAUUAUAGAUACAUUGGAGACGUAUCAGCAUCCCCAAGCUUAAUUCCUACUCGUCCUCGAGUAGGUAAAUGAUAAAAGAAAGAAUUUAUGAAAUGUGAAUGCUAGAAGGUGCACAAGUUUGAUCAAUGAUAAUUUCAAUCACCUUUUCUAGCAUGAUAAUAUGUCAUAAUAGUAGUUCAUAUCAUAAAACUUCUCACGAUAAAGUAACAAGCAAUUCACAUGUCAAAGCAUAGACCAUAAACUUUCUUGAAAACUAGCAAACUCCAUUCUUAGUCAUUUAAACAAUUGCAAUUCAUCCUAUUUUCAGGAAGGGUCUAUGUCAGAGCUUUGAUUUAGCAAACUUCACAUACUCAACUAUCAUAUAGUCUUCUACAAUUGCUAACACUCACGCAAUACUUGUGGUCAUGAAGUUUUAAUCAGACACAGAGAAAGGUUGGGGCUUAUAAUGUUGCCUCCAAACGUAUUCACCUUUGGGUGAUGUCAACAAUAAUAGUUCAUGCUAACUUACAUCCAAUUGGAUAUAUAUAUAUAUAUAUAUAUCGGGAUCACCCCAACAUAAGUGCUUGCCAAAGGAUAAAAUGAAAAAGGGAAAGGUGAAGAUCACCUUGACUCUUGCAUAAAGUAAAAGACAUAAAGUAAAAUAUAGGCCCUUCGCAGAGGGAAGCAGAGGUUUUCAUGCGCUUUUAGGGUUGGAUACACAAAAUCUUAAUGCGAAAGAACGUCACUUUAUAUUGCCCCUUGUAUAUGGACCUUUAUUAUGCAGUCCGUCGCUUUUAUUACUUCCAUAACAAGAUCGUACAAAGCUUAUUUUCUCCGCACUAAUAAUUCAUGCAUAAUUAGAGAGCAAUUUUUAUUGCUUGCACCGAUGACAACUUACUUGAAGGAUCUUACUCAAUCCAUAGGUAGGUAUGGUGGACUCUCAUGGAAAAACUGGGUUUAAGGAUAUCCGGAAGCACAAGUAGUAUUUCUACUUGGUGCAAGCAAUUUUGGCUAGCAUGAGGGGGAAAGGCAAGCUCAACAUGUUUGAAUGAUCCAUGACAAUAUACUUUAACUGAGAUGUCGGAAAACAUAAACCAUUACGUUGUCUUCCUUGUCCAACAUCAACUCUUUAGCAUGUCAUACUUAAUGAGUGCUCCCAAUUAUAAAAGAUGUCUAGGAUAGUGUAUUUAUAUGUGAAAUCUCUCUUCCUUAAAUAUUCUCUCAUGAAUUGUUCAAAUGACCAAUACAACGCUUGCUAACCUUCAAUAAAUUUACAACCUCUACUUCUUAGAUGUGAAGUCAUAACUCCCCAUGGGAUAAGCAAAUGAGACAUAUAUAAUUUCAGAUUUAUGACAAUCAACUUAUUCAACAAUUUACUCAUAGGAUAAAAGUGAAGCACACGAGUAAAUGAAAAACUACUCCAAAAAGAUAUAAGCGAAGAUCAAUGAGUAGCUAAAUAAUUAAGUAGCUAUGCGAAGACUCUCUCUCAUUAAAGAAUUUCAGAUCUUGGUAUUGUAUUCAAACAGAAAGCAAAACAAAAUAAAAUGACAUUGCAAGGAUAGCACAACUCAUGUGAAGAAGCAAAAACUUAGGCUUAACCGAUACUAACCGAUAGUUGUUGAAGAAGAAAGGUGGGAUGCCUACCGGGGCAUCCCCAAGCUUAGAUGCUUGAGACUUCUUGAAAUAUUAUCUUGGGGUGCCUUGGGCAUCCCCAAGCUUGAACUUUUGUGUCUCCUUAAUUCCUCUCCUAUCAUGAUUUCUCUAUUUCUCAAAAGCUUCAUCCACAACAAACUCAACAAGAACACGUGAGAUAGGUUAGUAUAAACCAAUGCAAAACCUUAUCAUUUUCUACUGUAACAAAUCACUAAAAUUAUUAUUCAACAUUGCAUACUAAAUGCCUCUGCAUAUUUAAUACUCCUAUCCUCAAAUAGAAUCAUUAAACAAGCAAACAAAUGCAAACAAUGCAAACAUAACAGCAAUCUGCCAAAACAGUACAGUCUGUAAAGAAUGCAAGAGUAUCAAUACUUCCCUAAAUCCAAAAAUUAUGAAAUAAAAUUCCCACUUAAGUAAAUUUAUCAGAUCUCAUUAUUCAAAAAGUUUGAACAUUAUAUCAUUCUCUUACUUUUCAAGGGAAUUUUUGCAACAGCGGUAAACUUUCUGUUUUCAAACAGCAACAUGUAUACUAGCAAAAUAAGCAUGGCAAAGGCUAUCCUUGACAUUUUUAUUGAAACUAAAGAUUCAAAACAUUAUUCUAUAUAACAGAAAGUAAAUACUAACAAAAUAAAAUGACGCUCCAAGCAAAACACAUAUCAUGUGGUGAAUAAAAAUAUAGCUCCAAGUAAAGUUACCGAUGAACAAAGACGAAAGAGAGGAUGCCUUCCGGGGCAUCCCCAAGAUUAGGCUCUUGGUUGUCCUUGAAUAUUACCUUGGGGUGCCUUUGGCAUCCCCAAUCUUAGGCUCUUGCCACUCCUUAUUCCAUAGUCCAUCAAAUCUUUACCCAAAACUUGAAAACUCAAUAGAAAACUCGUAAGCUCCGUUAGUAUAAGAAAAUAAAACAACCACUUAGGUACUGUAAUGAACUCAUUCUAAAUUCAUAUUGGUGUAAUAUAUACUGUAGUCCAACUUAUCUAUGGUUCAUACCCUCCAAUACUACUCAUAGAUUCAUCAAAAUAAGCAAACAACACAUAGAAAACAGAAUCUGUCAAAAACAGAACAGUCUGUAGUAAUCUGUAUCAAACGUAUACUUCUGGAACUCCAAAAAUCCUACCAAAUUAGGAAGUCCUAAGAAAUUUGUGUACCAAUCCAUAGAAAAAAUAACCAGAUCAGAAGAACGUUUCUUUGAAUUAACAAAACUAAUUUACUGGGUGCAAAAGUUUCUGAUUCUCAGCAGGAUCAACACAACUAUCACCGUAAGCUAUCCUAAAGGUCUUACUUGGCACUUUAUUGAAACAAAAACUAUAAAACAUGAUUACUACAGUAGCAUAAUCAUGUGGACACACAAAAACAGUAGGGAUAAAUAUUGGUUUAUCUCCCAACAAGCGCUUUUCUUUAAUGCCUUUCUAGCUAGGCAUGAUGAUGACAAUGAUGCUCACAUAAAAGAUAAGAAUUGAAACAUAACGGGAGCAUCGUGAAGCAUAUGACUAGCACAUUUAAGUCUAAACCACUUCCUAUGCAUAGGGAUUUUGUGAGCAAACAACUUAUGGGAACAAUGAUCAACUAGCAUAGGAAGGUAAAACAAGCAUAAGUUCAAAAACUGAAGCACAUAGAGAGGAAACUUGACAUUAUUGCAACUCCUACAAGCAUAUGUUCCUCCCUCAUAAUAAUUUUCAGUAGAAUCAUGAAUGAAUUCAACAAUAUAACCAGCACCUAAAGCAUUCUUUUCAUGAUCUACAAGCAUAAAAUUUUUACUACUCUCCACAUAAGCAAAAUUCUUCUCAUUCGGAAUAGUGGGAGUAUCAUAAAAGACUUGAACACUAAAAAUUGUUUCCACAUUAAAAGAGUAAUGUUCAGAAAAAGGGUGAUCAUAAUCAUGACAAGAUUUAUAAAUAUAAUCAUCACUACUUUUUAUAGCAUAAGUUUCAUCACAAUAAUCAUCAUAAGUAGUAACUUCGUUCUCAUCAUAAUCGAUUGAAACCUCUCCCAAGAUAGUGGAAUCACUAAAUAAAGUUGACACUCUUCCAAAUCCACUUUCAUAUUCAUCACAAUAAAAUUCAACAUCCUCCAAAUAGUGGGAUCACUACUUCCUAAAGUUUACACUCUUCCGAACCCACUUUCAUCAAUAUAAUCAUCAUAGGUAGGAGUCAUGCUAUCAUCAUAACAACUUUGCAUAUCAAAACUUGGGAUGCUAAAAAUAUCAUCUUCACUAAACGUAGCAUCCCCAAGCUUGGGACAAACAUUAAUUUCAGCAAACAUAUUCUCAAAUAUUUCAUCCUCAUCAAACAUAGCUUCCCCAAGCUUGGGCCCUUUCAUAUCAUAAGCAUAAUCACUCUCAUCAUUAAAAAUAUUCAUAGCACCAAUAGUAUAGCAAUUAUCAUCAUCACAAUGAGUAGUAGGAGCAACAUCAUUUGGGAGGGAUACCUUUCUACCUUUGUUGUUCCUUCUUUUCUUUUUCUUCUUCACAUUAUGUGUGGGUUUAACCUUCCUCUUUGAGCUCCUUAUUGAUGAGAUUGGUUGAAUAGCAAGCUCCUCCUCGUCACCUGAUUCAUCAUAAGAAAUAAUAGGAGGAUAGUGGGAAGUCUCUUACCUUUCAUUAGUAUUCUCUUCAUCUUCUAUUUGCUUUCUUUUCUUUAUGUAAUUGGCAAUAUAAGGAUUUUCAAUGCAAUUCUCCAUACAAUACAAAUAAAUAUCCUCUAGAUCAAAAUCAAGAAAUCUAUCAAUAUUAAAUUUUGGAAUAUCCUCGGUUAUACGUUUCAUUUCUU